UUCGAAGUGAAAGUGGCAGAUAACACUACAUAUAUCGACCUCUCGUUGAAUAGUCCAGGUCUACAUGUGCUUCCAUUCGGUUUUCCAGGCCGUUUCGUCGUACUUUAUGCCAAAGAAAGUUGCUUUGUAUUGAAAUACAGUGGAACUACAGAAUCACAAGUGAUUUGUUCGCUGUGGGGACUGAAAGACGCCAAAGAUGAGGACGAGAAAGUCUGCUUUCUGACCAUCGCUAAGCUUUGCCCGGGACCAAUGAUUGACGCCUACCAAGAAAAUAGAGACCGCUGCGAACUACACGAUGAUCUGGUUAAACAGGCGCUAAACAAAAAUAAUAACUAAAAUAGAAUGAGCAACAUAAUUUAGGCUUAAGUAGGCAAAGGAAGAAAAUGUACACGUAAAAAAACGAACUUGAAAUUAAUGCGUAAGAAUACAGGUUUUCAUGGUGAACGAGAACAUCUAAAUGACAUUAUCUUGAUUUACUAUAAACACCGCCAACGGCCGCUCUUGUUAUACCGCUACCAGCAAUGCUCUUCGCAGCAAAUGUUGUUGUAAGUGGAAACUGGAAUUAUCACUUGUUUUCAACUACAGGCUAGCCCUCUUGUGGAACGGUAGUAGCAAGUAACAAUAGAGGUACAUUUCGCUGUGUAAGAUAUGACAAGAGUAUUUUUGGCAAAUGUUUCCCUAAUGCCUGUCUCACCUUUAAUCUUGCUCAUGAGCUUGUUUGCACAACAUAUUGGUCAAUAAUAAUCCAGUCUUUGUAAUACGGAGUAUGUUCUUUUGGUCAUCAUCAUGAUCAUCAUGCUGGCUACGCCCACUGCAGGGCAAAGGUUUCUCCCAUACUUCUCCAACUAUCCCGGUCAUGUGCUUAUUGUGGCCAUGUUGUC
rnacentral:lncRNA from 1 species